rnacentral:rRNA from 1 species
GCUUACGGCCAUACCACCCUGAGAAUGCCUGAUCUCGUCUGAUCUCGGAAGCUAAGCAGAGUCGGGCCUGGUUAGUACUUGGAUGGGAUUCUGCCUGGGAAUACCAGGUGCUGUAAGCU